rnacentral:rRNA from 1 species
GACGAACGCUGGCGGCGUGCUUAACACAUGCAAGUCGAACGGAAAGGCCCCUUUGGGGGUACUCGAGUGGCGAACGGGUGAGUAACACGUGAGUAACCUGCCCUUGACUUCGGGAUAACUUCAGGAAACUGGGGCUAAUACCGGAUAGGAAUCCUUGCUGCAUGGUGGGGGUUGGAAAGCUUGGCGGUUUUGGGUGGGCUCGCGGCUUAUCAGCUUGUUGGUGGGGUAGUGGCUUACCAAGGCUUUGACGGGUAGCCGGCCUGAGAGGGCGACCGGCCACAUUGGGACUGAGAUACGGCCCAGACUCCUACGGGAGGCAGCAGUGGGGAAUAUUGCACAAUGGGCGGAAGCCUGAUGCAGCAACGCCGCGUGCGGGAUGACGGCCUUCGGGUUGUAAACCGCUUUCAGCAGGGGCGAAGCUUGUGGUGACGGUACCUGCAGAAGAAGCACCGGCUAACUACGUG